GAGGAGGAGGUGUCGCUCGCUGGAGGGGUUGAGGGGGCAGCGGAGCAGCCGUGUUCUGGAGAGGGAGUUUGGGAAUGUGAUUAUUCAGUUGCAAAAGUAAAGGACAGCUUCCCAGAGUCUGCAAAGGGAUAGGAGCAGUGUAUGAUAGCAGAUGCUUUCCAGUUUCAGAUAUGCUCCUAGAUACAGCCUCCAGCUUCUCUUUGUUCCGGCUGAUUAAGAUGAUGUUGACACCACGCUUUGCC